rnacentral:lncRNA from 13 species
CACCGAUGUGGAGGAUUCACAUGUUUCUUAUGUCUCAACAUUCUAAUGUGACUGCCAGGGAUAGAGCUAUUGUGACUCACAGCAGAUGACCCAACAAAUAUCAUCAUUCUAGUGACAAUAAAACUCACUGAAAGAAGUCUUUUUGCUUUAUCUAUACAUUGCAUGACAGCCUUUAACAUGCAUAAUUAGCAAUCAAUAUUCUGUGCUGAAGUAGCUAAGGAGGAAAUGAACAAACAUUUUGAAAAGCCCUCAGCCCCUGUAUGAGUCAGGGUUGUCUAGACGAACAGAACUAAAGGAAUACACACACACACACACACACACACACACACACGUGAGUUUCUUAAGUAUUAACUCACAUGAUCACAAGGUCCCACAAUAAGCCAUCUAUAGGCUGAGGAGCAAGGAGAGCCAGACCGAGUUCCAAAACUGAAGAACUUGGAGUCUGAUGUUCCAGGGCAGGAAGCAUCCAGCAUGGGAGAAGGAUGUAGGCUGGGAGACUAGACCAGUCUCUCUUUACACAUUUUUCUACCUGCUUAUAUUCUGGCCCUGCUGGCAGCUGAUUAGCUUGUGCCAACCCAGAUUAAGGGUGUGUCUGCCUUUCCCAGCCCACUGACUCACAUGUUAAUCUCCAUUGGCAACACCCCAACAGACACACCCAGGAUCAAUACUUUGCAGCCUUCAAUCCAAUCAAGUGGACACUCAGAUCAUAGCCCCUGAAUUGUGCCCUUUUCUACUGCCUGCUGGUAGAUUACACUCUCUGCAGGGCCUUUAAAUGUUCUUUCUUUUAUUUUCUUUUACAGACUUGCAGGAUUCCAGCUCCUCAAGCCCUUCACACUCCACAAUAUUCCCCCACUCAGUCAACAUUCUCAGUGAAGAUCUUCAACCAUGUGGUAGCACUGGAGUCUCUCGGAGCCUACUCUGGUUUAGGGGCUUCCCGAUUCACAAAUCAUUCUUUGCUCAACUGAACUCUGUUAAAUUUAAUUUGGCUUAAGAUUUUUCUUUUAACAUCAGACACAUACAAAAGAAUAUCUGAAAUAGAAUGGAAGUGCCCCAAAAGCCCAGAGGUGACUCAGCUACCCCAGGAGGGGAAAAAGAGGGAGGAAAGAUGAGAAGGAGUACCAAGGAACACUCAGUUUGUAACUGCUGGUAGCAUCCUAAUUUUGUCAUAUCCCUUAAACCAAUAACAUUAACGCAGCAAAUAGUUUAUUGGGGAAAAUCCAGUGUGCAUAGAAAGGUUUCUAUUUGAUUUCUGAAAUAAACAAUGAUUAAGGUGAAAUCUAGGGAUGAGG